UCUCCCAGAAAUGAGCAAAAAUACCUUGUUGAUGUGGUGGUCUUAUAUCAGUCAAGGGCAAAACAGAUGACAAUGCUUUGUUCAUCUCAGCUUGAUACCUGGCUUGGUGGACAAAGCUAUUUUAUGCCUUGGACUCAUAC